GUGAGAAGAAGGCUCAUGGUCAUGGGUACUGCUGCUCACUGCCUGAAUAGUCCAGUAGGCCUGACCCCCAGGGUGGUGAGAGCGGAGACAGUGAAUUGUGGGGAGAGGAGAGACAGCAGUCCCAUCACCAUCACGGACGUCAUUGCUUGAAGAGGGAGGAGCUGGGCUAAGCCUGGGCAGGACCCAGAAGAUCAGAGGGUGAGUUUUUCCAGCACCUCAGUGGGGAAAGACAAACCCAU
rnacentral:lncRNA from 1 species